rnacentral:rRNA from 1 species
AAAUUGAAGAGUUUGAUCAUGGCUCAGAUUGAACGCUGGCGGCAGGCCUAACACAUGCAAGUCGAACGGUAACAGGAAACAGCUUGCUGUUUCGCUGACGAGUGGCGGACGGGUGAGUAAUGUCUGGGAAACUGCCUGAUGGAGGGGGAUAACUACUGGAAACGGUAGCUAAUACCGCAUAAUGUCGCAAGACUAAAGAGGGGGACCUUCGGGCCUCUUGCCAUCGGAUGUGCCCAGAUGGGAUUAGCUAGUAGGUGGGGUAACGGCUCACCUAGGCGACGAUCCCUAGCUGGUCUGAGAGGAUGACCAGCCACA